rnacentral:rRNA from 1 species
CCUACGGGCGGCUGCAGUAAGGAAUAUUGGUCAAUGGACGAAAGUCUGAACCAGCCAUCCCGCGUGCAGGAUGAAAGCCCUAUGGGUUGUAAACUGCUUUUAGCAGAGAAGAAAAGCUUUCAUUAAUGAGAGUCUGACGGUAUCUGCAGAAUAAGCACCGGCUAACUCCGUGCCAGCAGCCGCGGUAAUACGGAGGGUGCGGGCGUUAUUCGGAAUUACGGGGUUGAAGGCGUGGGAUGAAGUCAGUUUUGAAAUCUUGUCGCUUAACGAUAAAAUUGCUAAUGAUAUUGGUACUCUUGAAUUGGGUUGAGGUGAGCGGAAUGUGACAUGUAGCGGUGAAAUGCAUAGAUAUGUCAUGGAACACCAAUUGCGAAGGCAGCUAACUGGGCCUUGAUUGACGCUGAGGCACGAAAGCGUGGGUAGCGAACAGGAUUAGAUACCCUAGUAGUC